rfam:Ornithorhynchus anatinus mitochondrial DNA, complete genome
GGUAAAAUGGCUGAGUUUAAGCAUUAGACUGUAAAUCUAAAGACGGGGAAAAUGUCCCCUUUUACCA